AGUGAACGCUGGCGGUAGGCCUAGCACAUGCAAGUCGAACGGCAGCACAGUAAGAGCUUGCUCUUACGGGUGGCGAGUGGCGGACGGGUGCGGAAUACAUCGGAAUCUACUUUUUCGUGGGGGAUAACGUAGGGAAACUUACGCUAAUACCGCAUACGACCUACGGGUGAAAGCAGGGGAUCUUCGGACCUUGCGCGAUUGAAUGAGCCGAUGUCGGAUUAGCUAGUUGGCGGGGUAAAGGCCCACCAAGGCGACGAUCCGUAGCUGGUCUGAGAGGAUGAUCAGCCACACUGGAACUGAGACACGGUCCAGACUCCUACGGGAGGCAGCAGUGGGGAAUAUUGGACAAUGGGCGCAAGCCUGAUCCAGCCAUACCGCGUGGGUGAAGAAGGCCUUCGGGUUGUAAAGCCCUUUUGUUGGGAAAGAAAAGCAGCAGGUUAAUACCCCGCUGUUCUGACGGUACCCAAAGAAUAAGCACCGGCUAACUUCGUG
rnacentral:rRNA from 1 species